rnacentral:lncRNA from 1 species
CUGAGCCACUGUUGCCACCGUGCGGGCGUUUGGCAGAGAGAUGCUCUGCAGCCUCAGAGCCCGGGCAGCGGUGGAGUGAUAUCCCUGCAGUUCAACUGCCCAGAGCUGCCCCUCUGCCAUUGCUAUGAAUCGGUGCUAAUUGCUACCGGUGAGCAAUGGGCUGUGCCACCGCGGCUCCUGCACCUGAGGACUCUAAUCAAGUUUUCCAGAGCCGCGGUCCAAAUGAGGAUCUGUGUGCAGAAUAUCCGACCCAGGAGAACGGGAUGGAGCUUUGCAUGGGAAGCAAUGCCAGGCUGGAAAUUUCCAAAGCGCUCAGCGGUUCACCUGCACUGCAGCGCAGACCACAUCCCCUCCGUGCACAGCUCUGCCAGCCCUGAGCUCCUGCUCGCAGGUGGAUGGGUUGCACUCAGCGCUGGAAGAGUGUUGUAAGGCAGCUUUAUAAUCGCUUUAUAAUCUCUGAAAUUGCUUUCUACCAUUAUUUCCGCUCCUGGAUCCAACUGUCCAUCAGCAGCUUUCAGUGCAAAUGUGUUUUUUAAUGCUUGUCUUGCAGUGUUUUGCAAACAAUGGACCCAUUAUUGUCUUGAGUUCAGAUGGCCUGCUUACACGUAACCAUGGCCAUCCAUAUAACCUCCUUGUUCCGUUGAACGGUGCAGAGGAUGCAAACAAUGUGUACUGUUCUGAGAGCAAAUGCAGAAGUGAUCCAUACUGCACAGGUCACAGCGGAGCCUGGCCGUUAAUUGGCUGUACAGUUGUAGGAGAAGGGAGGAAAACCCAACCACAGCCCAUCUUUGUGGCUGGGCCAAAGGUGGGCAAGAUCACAGCUGAAGUGCUCACGUGGGCUCCUGAUUGUGGAAACACGCUGAAUAUGUGAUACAAUGUGAAGUUACGUAACACCUUUAAUGAAAUUCUUGGCGAUAAAACAAUGCAUAAAAAGAACAGAUGUGGCAAAUUGCAGCCGCGGUCUGAUCCCUUUCUCUGGUUGGUUUAGUGAAAACAAUGGAGUUGAUUUAAAUUCAUUUUUUAAUUUUCUUUCUUCAAAAUGUCCACAGGCAAAGAAAGAAAAGCAAAAAAACAAAACAAAACAAAAAACUCCAAGUGCAAAUGGGGUCUUGUAUGGAGAGCUGUGAGCUCCAGUGAGGGGUGAGGGAAAUGGGGGGGCCAGCCCUGCCUGUGGGGCUCCUGCUGCAGUGUGGGACAUGACCCUGAGCUGUGUCCCUGCUGGCAGAGCAGUUCAAUGAGUCUGAGCUUGCCCAGGUCUCCAUACGUUCAGGAAUGGACGGUCCCUCACCGAGCUGCUGUUUGUGUAAGGCCCUGAAGCAGCACAAGGCAAAGCUUGGUGUCCCCCCAGCACCAAUGCUGAGUGGAGUCCAGCUCCUGCCCUCCAACCUGUUGCCAGCCCCAUGGGUUUCCCACAAGGUCCCGGGCUGUGGGGCUGCAUGGCCGAUAAGGGGCUGCAGGCUCUAAUCAGAGCUGCAUCUGCAUGCACUGUGGCUCCUGAUAAGGGCAGCAGGCUCAAGUGAUGGACUCCUGUUUGUUGUGGUACACAGUGCCCUGAAUAUGGGCAAGCUGCUGCUUCAGCCCCUAAAACCAGACCCAGAGCUUUGAACAGCAAAGCAAUGCUCUGUUGCUGCUGCACAAGCAAGAAGGCAAUGGCUGUGGCUGGGGGUUGGUUGGUUGCUAUAUUUUUUGUAAUCCUCUUUCUGCUUUCUGGCUAUUAGCAUUGUAUAUAGUUGGCUUUCUACAACAGCUCACGUUCUGGCUCCAUUGAGGCAACAGCUCCAUAAUAACUGUGCUUCCUGAAACCAAGCCCCAGCUCUGCUCCGGGAUGGCCCAUCAGCAUGGCUGGCUGAGAUGUGCCAUUAGCUCUGGGUAUUGUCUGAAGUAUUUUUGUUCUUGGAUGGAAGAAAACAGCAGGACAUUUUGAAUGAAAAUAGGAAAAAUGGCAUUAACAGCUGAUCUUUUAAUAGAUGAAAAGCCUUCAAGCUAAAGGCUUCUGACUUAAAAAGGGAAAUUUCAACGGAAAGAGGGAAGUGACUGUUUUGAAAGAGUUCGGGUGGAGGAUCAAACUGAAAGGAUCUUGUGCAACUCUGCUUUUUAGGUCUAGUGCCAAAUCCAUCCAUUUAUUCCUUACCAUGGGGAAAUCGCUGAGGAAUGCCAGGAAAAAGACAGGUCUCUGGUCUGGCUGGAAGCACACAGCACCUUGCGUGGUCAGCUCCUCAUAUCUGUCUCUGGUUUUGGGUUCUGUCUGUUCUCUGCUGCCAUAGUUGGACAGCUGGGGGCUCUGAUAAAGGAUGGGGAGAUAAGAGGCUCUCUGCCACCCCUCCCUGCCCUGCAGCUCCUGCAUGCUAAGGCUCAGCUCUCGGAACCCCAUGAGCUCUACUAAACGUGUGAGAAAGUGGCUCUCAAAUGGAAUGGGUCUCAUGCACCCCUGUCUGUGGGGGGACAUUUAAGUACAAACGCUUUGGGGGAAAAAAUGAUAUGGGGAAAAGAAUUAAAGUGUACUUAGAAGAGAGCAGAUUCCCUUCAACCAGCGCCCAUUGUGUCUCUCAAGAGGAUGCCCUUAGAGCUCUGGAACAGCUUUACCUUGAGUAAAAUCCAUAUUACUGAUGCAGCAGAGUGGGCACAGGCACACCCUGAGGGAGACAGAUAUAACACAGCUGAGGAUGUGCUGAGGGAGAGUGCACAACUGAGCACAAAAGAUCUGGGCGAAAGAGCACGUGCUGCAGCUGAACUCCUAAAGCCCUCUCCAAACCAGAGGCUAAGCUAAUGAUGAGACAUGAAGACCGUUUAGAGACAGCACGACUCCAGCAAUCCAUGAGAACAAUGCAAAGUUCAAAAAUAGCAGUAUCGACUGGUGGAAAAACAACAUACAUAUAAUUUUCAGGUAAUUACUAUAGUAUAAUUAGCUCUCUUGUUUUCCUAAGAGCCGGCUGAAAUGAACUGUGCUUGCUGCUCGAGCUCAGCCUUAUUUACAGUGUUCCCAGGACUAAAGCGAUCCUUUAAAAAAUCGAGAUUAGGUAAAAAAAAUAAAGACAGGAGUGCUUAGUAGGAGAUAGCAUCUCCGUGCUGUGGGUGGAGGCUGGCUGCUGGCGUCUCCGUCAGCAUUUCACCCGGCUCUGCUCCCAGCCUCAUUAGACGACAUCAGAGCUGAAGGACUGCAGCACAGAUGCAAAAUCUGCUCCUGUGCUAUCUGUGUUACUUCCCUGCGUGGUCUUAUGGGGGCAAGAGAGCUGGAAAACGGUACGAUGUGGGGAGGAAAGAGGCUCAGACUGUAGCAUGCCUCUAUCUUUUUCCAGAUCGCUGCCUGUGACCGAUGCCCUGUGCAAAAUUGUUACAAAACAGGACUGUGUGGAAGUGCUGCAUUUCACAUGUACAGUGCAGUGGGAGUGCAAAGAGGGGGAGCAACGUAGCACUGUAACAGGGAUUUACUCUCAGAGUUCUGGAAAAUGUAGUUCCUUGAGCUCUUUAAUUUUUUUUUUUCUCUGCCACAGAACUUUCCUUGUUAGGAAUUAUUUGGUAUCUGUAGAAUGUAACUUCUUGUGUGAGGAAGCCUUGCAGUCUUAAUUGAAAUCACUAGUAAUCAAAAUGGAAGAGUUUGUCCAAAACGAAAAGCUUGGUUUUGUUGGUGUUGUAAGUCUGCAUGGUUUAUUACAAACCCGCCCCACCUCUCUGAAGGUACUUGGAAGCAGAAAACUUUCUGCAGUUUCCUGUCUUUGGGUUUGGGUUGUCCUUGGCCCGGGGAGGACAUGGCUGUGGCACAGAGCUGCACUCUCCAUGGCCCAAGGUGAGCCGGCCGCAGUGCUUUCUGCUCCUUGUUCCCCAUCUACGUGCUGUGAAAAUGGGUGCUAAUGGGGAAAAAUCACAAUUGUGACUCAGUGAGGUGGAAUUUUGUUGACAAAAUCUGAAUUCAGCUCAGCCAAAGGAAAUGCUUUUGCAAGUGUAGAUGAAUAUCUCAAGAAUGACCAUUAAUUCUAGCUUUCUUGGGGAAGAAAAAGAAGAGCGGAAAGAAAGGAAAAAAGAAGAUGGACAUUCAAAUCCAUUUUCUCACCAGAGAAAGGUGAGCAAAUGUACACGCAGAAACAGAUUCAUUCCUUGGGGCAGUUAUUUUCUGAGAUAAAACUUACAGGGGUUACCUUGGGUAAGUUAAACCAGUGCUGGGAGGGUUUGGCAGGAAGGUAGGAUGCGGCUGCCUUCUUAGCUAGGAUGGUGUGUAACGUGUGUGCCUCAUCUCAAUACAGAAGGCAGUUCUCCUAUCGCACAGUAUCAUCCAGUGCAAUCGAGUUUUGAAUCAUAGAAUCAUUAAGGUUGGAGAAGACCUCUAAGAUCACGCAGUCCAACUGUCAGAUCAUCCCCACCAUGCCCGCUAACCACGUCCCUCAGUACCACAUCCAUGCAGUUCUUGAACUCCUCGAGGGAUGAUGAAUCCACCAUCUCCCUGGGCAGUCUGUUCCAAAAUAUCAGCAAGGCUGAACGAAUGUAUUUUCACGUGAGCGCUCUGCAGCAGUGGUCAUCCAGCCUUUAUUUUUCUUCCCACAUCGUGCUUUAUGAAGGUGUUAGACUUACAGGGUUUGAGCAGGAGGGAACCUCCUCUCCUGGGGAACCAUAGGAAGACCCCGUCCUGUCCAUCCUCACUGAAAACCACCUCUAUUUGACAUCACCACUACUUAAUUUUGACACAGUCCGUGUAUAGAAUAGCUUAACUCCAAAGGGCGGGCCUUAAGAACAUUAGCAGGGCGCUAUGAGCCAGCAGAUAUUGCCCAUUGGUAGUAGGGAGGAAAAGGCUAAGCAAAUAGUUUUAAAGAAUGGGCUAAUUGUGUGCCUAUUGCCAUUGUCCUGCAGCUGCAGUGCUUUGUAUGGCAGCAAAGUGCACGGGGAGCCAAGCUUGGCUUGGCAUCCAUAACUCCAGCCUGGGAAUACAAUAUACAGGGCAUGCAAGUAUCAGAGAGGACAAUUAGAAAUUUUGAAAGAUUAAACACAAAAUUGCAAUGGAAAAAGAGUUUGUAUAGCAGCCAAGGCAGGCUUUGAGGGCUUGGUGUUGUAAAAUGCACUCAUGUGUACAGUAAGAAGGCAAGUUGAUAUUUAGGAACUGAAAAAACAGGAAACAUGCAGAUGAGGCUCGUAUGUGUCACACUGUAACGCUGCAUGUGUAAUUAAAGAUGAUAGUAACUCAUUUACAUGUGCUUUCCAUCCUGCAAUAACACUGUUCUAUCAGCAGGCCUAAGGACAUAAAACAGGUAACCUUAACAGAACGGUUCAGAUUUUUUCCCUAAUUUAGGAUUUUAGGUGGUUAGCUCUCUGUGCAUUUUAAUAACACAGGCACCAGUGAUGUAAUUAAUGCUCUUACCUAAAUAAGUACCAGCCUUUAUUUUGGGCCUAAUUUGAGAUGGUGGUAAUGUAACAUUGCACUUAGCUGUGCAUUCAGGGGAGAUGUGUGCACCAGCUGAGUUUCAGUUACUUUACAUUGCUGAACUUACUGAAUAGCACGUGGAGCCAUUCCAUGUACGUUGUAUAUAAAGAAUUAAAAGAAUCUAUUCUAUCACUUGACAUGCUGGCUACUCCAUUCUGC